GACGAACGCUGGCGGCGUGCUUAACACAUGCAAGUCGAACGGAAAGGCCCUGCUUUUGUGGGGUGCUCGAGUGGCGAACGGGUGAGUAACACGUGAGUAACCUGCCCUUGACUUUGGGAUAACUUCAGGAAACUGGGGCUAAUACCGGAUAGGAGCUCCUGCUGCAUGGUGGGGGUUGGAAAGUUUCGGCGGUUGGGGAUGGACUCGCGGCUUAUCAGCUUGUUGGUGGGGUAGUGGCUUACCAAGGCUUUGACGGGUAGCCGGCCUGAGAGGGUGACCGGCCACAUUGGGACUGAGAUACGGCCCAGCCUCCUAUGGGAGGCAGCAGUGGGGAAGAUUGCACAAUGGGCGGAAGCCUGAUGCAGCAACGCCGCGUGGGGGAUGACGGCCUUCGGGUUGUAUACCGCUUUCGCCUGUGACGAAGCGUGAGUGACGGUAAUGGGUAAAGAAGCACCGGCUAACUACGUG
rnacentral:rRNA from 1 species